ensembl:snRNA Gm24043 predicted gene, 24043
AUACUCUGGUUUCUCUUCAAUGCAUAUAAAUCUUUCACCUUUUACUAAAGAUUUCCAUGGAGAGGGACAACCCUGAGUCUUAAACCAAUUUUUUGAGGAGUUGUCUUGACAAGGCU